ACUACGGCCCGCAACGCAAGAGUCGAAUCGCUCGCGUUCCAACACAGUUGCGCUUAGCGGUCUGAUUAGCCAUGCGGAGAGGGUUCGACAUUGUUUUGCGAUGGCUAGAAAGCAUCCGUGUGCGGUGUUUGGCUGCAAGAGCUCCGAUGGGAAAAACAAAACGACGCAGCACCGGAUGCCUCAUGAUGACGUCCUGCGCAAUGGCUGGCUCGAGCGCCUUGGAGCUGUUUCAGAAUAAAAAAACACGAGAAAUUGUUGGAACCCCACCCUGUCACGAUUAAAAUGGAUUAUGUUAUUGA
rnacentral:lncRNA from 1 species